UCAGUCGACUCCUACCGGGGAGGCAGCAGUGAGGGAAUAUUGGGUCAAUGGGCGCAAGCCUGAACCAGCCAUGCCGCGUGCAGGAAGACUGCCCUAUGGGUUGUAAACUGCGUUUAUACAGGAAGAAACACUCGGACGUGUCCGAGCUUGACGGUACUGUAAGAAUAAGGAUCGGCUAACUCCGUGCCAGCAGCCGCGGUAAUACGGAGGAUCCAAGCGUUAUCCGGAAUCAUUGGUUUAAGGGUCCGUAGGUGGAUUAGUAAGUCAGAGGUGAAAGCCUGCAGCUCAACUGUAGAACUGCCUUUGAUACUGCUAGUCUUGAGUCAUUAUGAAGUGGUUAGAAUGUGUAGUGUAGCGGUGAAAUGCAUAGAUAUUACACAGAAUACCGAUUGCGAAGGCAGAUCACUAAUAAUGUACUGACACUGAUGGACGAAAGCGUGGGGAGCGAACAGGAUUAGAUACCCUGGUAG
rnacentral:rRNA from 1 species